UGCUCAUCCAGAGGGACUGAGGGAUACGGCCCGUUGAAGUCCCGGCAACCCUCCCCGUGGAGGCCCCGUCCUGGGGCCGCUCGCGGCGGAACGGUGCCAAAUCCGUCCCACGCCGAGAUCCGGCGCCCGGGGAAGAUGAGGA
rnacentral:ncRNA from 19 species